UACGGGAGGCAGCAGUGGGGAAUAUUGCACAAUGGGCGCAAGCCUGAUGCAGCCAUGCCGCGUGUAUGAAGAAGGCCUUCGGGUUGUAAAGUACUUUUCAGUCGUGAGGAAGGUGUUAAGGUUAAUAACCUUAGCAAUUGACGUUAGCGACAGAAGAAGCACCGGCUAACUCCGUGCCAGCAGCCGCGGUAAUACGGAGGGUGCGAGCGUUAAUCGGAAUUACUGGGCGUAAAGGGCACGCAGGCGGUUAAUUAAGUUGGAUGUGAAAUCCCCGGGCUUAACCUGGGAAUGGCAUUCAAGACUGGUUAGCUAGAGUCUUGUAGAGGGGGUAGAAUUCCAUGUGUAGCGGUGAAAUGCGUAGAGAUGUGGAGGAAUACCGGUGGCGAAGGCGGCCCCUGGACAAAGGACUGACGCUCAUGUGCGAAAGCGUGGGGAGCGAAAC
rnacentral:rRNA from 1 species